GGGCCGGUAGCUCAGCUUGGCUGGAGCGUUCGACUGAUAAUCGAAAGGUCGUGAGUUCAAAUCUCACUCGGCCCA
rnacentral:tRNA from 1 species